rnacentral:rRNA from 1 species
AGAGUUUGAUCAUGGCUCAGAUUGAACGCUGGCGGAUGCCUUACACAUGCAAGUCGAACGGUAACGCGGGGCAACCUGGCGACGAGUGGCGAACGGGUGAGUAAUAUAUCGGAACGUGCCCAGUAGUGGGGGAUAGCCCGGCGAAAGCCGGAUUAAUACCGCAUACGACCUACGGGUGAAAGCGGGGGAUCGCAAGACCUCGCGCUAUUGGAGCGGCCGAUAUCAGAUUAGGUAGUUGGUGGGGUAAAAGCCUACCAAGCCGACGAUCUGUAGCUGGUCUGAGAGGACGACCAGCCACACUGGGACUGAGACACGGCCCAGACUCCUACGGGAGGCAGCAGUGGGGAAUUUUGGACAAUGGGCGCAAGCCUGAUCCAGCCAUGCCGCGUGCGGGAAGAAGGCCUUCGGGUUGUAAACCGCUUUUGUCAGGGAAGAAAUCUUCUGAGUUAAUACCUCGGGAGGAUGACGGUACCUGAAGAAUAAGCACCGGCUAACUACGUGCCAGCAGCCGCGGUAAUACGUAGGGUGCGAGCGUUAAUCGGAAUUACUGGGCGUAAAGCGUGCGCAGGCGGUUAUGCAAGACAGAUGUGAAAUCCCCGGGCUCAACCUGGGAACUGCAUUUGUGACUGCAUGGCUGGAGUGCGGCAGAGGGGGAUGGAAUUCCGCGUAGCAGUGAAAUGCGUAGAUAUGCGGAGGAACACCGAUGGCGAAGGCAAUCCCCUGGGCCUGCACUGACGCUCAUGCACGAAAGCGUGGGGAGCAAACAGGAUUAGAUACCCUAGUAGUCC